UGAGAUCCAGGCGGGGUUUUGACAGCUCCAGGAGGAAAGCAAGAAGAUGGAAUGCGGGAGGAGCGGAAGGUGGGCACUUUAGGGACCAGGGGUGGUGAGGCAGGUCGGAAACCGAGCCCUGCAAUAAAGGAGCAAAGGGACUCUAACUGUGGGCAGCAGUUACCUAUGAGGUGGGCGGCUGGGAGCCUGGAACUGAAAUCUGUUUCUGCCUCCUUCUCCUCUGGCAGCUCCUGUGACCCUGGAAGGGGGGAAGAGUCCACGAUUGCGGGCUAGGGCAGCCUUCCAUGCUUGGCCCCCCCAAGAAGACAGGGCGCCAGGGCAGGUUUCCGGGGAGGAAGAGUGCAUGAGACCCAAGCUCCAGGCCUGUGGUUUUUCCUACCAGUCCCAUCCCCAACACACAUCUCCCUGGGAGGGAGAGCAAGCAAGGCAUAUGUGCUUGGGCAGAGACGGAGGCCUGAGUAUGUCUUGGGGAAGAGGAGAGGAGACAGCCAGAGAAUACGAAGGAGCUUGGAGCUCUCAGGACACAACAGCAUCACAGGAACUUGGAAAGAUGACCAGAAGAGGCAGACAAAGCAUCCCCACCGGGGACAGACUGAGCAGGAUGAGACCAGAGAGCCCCAGGCAUAGCUAGAGAUUUUAUUUAUUUAACAGAGAGAGCAAGCACAAGCAGCGAGAGCGGUAGGCAGAGGGAGAGGGAGAAGCAGGCUCCCCGCCGAGCAAGGAGUCUAAUGUGGGACUCAAUCCCAGGACCCUGGGAUCAUGACCUGAGCCGAAGGAAGGCGGAUGCUUAGCGACUGAGCCACCCAGGCGCCCCUGAUCUACACACUUUAUAUAUAAUAAUUCUUUUAAUCCCGACAAAACUCUAAGAAGAAACGGAGGCACAGAGAAGUUAAGGAACUUAUAGAAGGCCACACAGUAGUGGCAGAGUCAGGAUUUGAACCCAGGCAGUCUGGCUCCAGAGCCUUGACCACAAGACAGUUUAAAAAAACAAAACAAAAAAAAACCCCUGAGUGCUGACUUCAGAUUUGUGCAUUUUAAUGUAUGUAAAUCUUGCCUUCCUCAGCCCCCCAAAAAAGAAAUGGGGAAACAAAAGCUGGACUCGAGUCACCGAUAAGCAUGGUAAGAGGUUUAGGGGUAAAAUGUGUACUGCUGUUUGCAACUUUGAAAGGUAUCCAAAAAAUGAGAUAGAUUGAUAGGUACGUGAUAAAGCAAAUACAGAAAACUGUCCAUUUUAGAAUGUAGGUGGUAGGGAUAUGUUCACUGUAAAAUUAUUUCAAUUUUGUUCUGCUCGAAUAUUUUAAUAAUAAAAUGUGUGAAGAAAAAAAAACGUGAAUAUUG
rnacentral:lncRNA from 1 species